rnacentral:sRNA from 1 species
GCUGGGCGUGGUGGCAUGCACCUGUAGUCCCAGGUACUCAGGAGGCUGAGGCAGGAGAGUUGCUUGAACCUGGGAGGUGGAAGGUUGCAGCAAGGCGAGAUGGUGCUACUGCACUCCAGCCUGAGCGACAGAGACUCCACUUUGGAAAAAAAAAAAAAGAGUUAAGAUUUUUUUUGAGACAGUCUUGCUCUAUCACCCACGCUGGAGUGCAGUGGCACAAUAUCGACUCAUGGCAACCUCCGCCUCCCAGGUUCAAGCAAUUCUCCUGCCUCA